rnacentral:rRNA from 1 species
AUUGAACGCUGGCGGCAGGCCUAACACAUGCAAGUCGAGCGACGGGCGGACGGGUGAGGAAUGUAUGGGGACUGCCCGAUAGAGGGGGCGAACUACUGGAGACGGUAGCUCCUACCGCAUCCUAUCGGAUAACCCAGAUGGGAUUAGCUAGUAGGUGAGGUAAUGGCUAACCUAGGCGACGAUCCCUAGCUGGUCUGAGAGGAUGAUCAGCCACACUGGGACUGAGACACGGCCCAGACUCCUACGGAGGCAGCAGUGGGGAAUAUUGGACAAUGGGCGCAAGCCUGAUGCAGCCAUGCCGCGUGUAUGAAGAAGGUCCUAGGGUUGUAAAGUACUUUCAGUCGGGAGGCGUUACCGACAGAAGAAGCACCGGCUAACUCCGUGCCAGCAGCCGCGGUAAUUC